GUAGGUGGCAAGCGUUGUCCGGAAUUAUCGGGCGUAAAGCGCGCGCAGGCGGUCCUCUAAGUCUGAUGUGAAAGCCCACGGCUCAACCGUGGAGGGUCAUUGGAAACUGGGGGACUUGAGUACAGAAGAGGAAAGCGGAAUUCCAAGUGUAGCGGUGAAAUGCGUAGAGAUUUGGAGGAACACCAGUGGCGAAGGCGGCUUUCUGGUCUGUAACUGACGCUGAGGCGCGAAAGCGUGGGGAGCAAACAGGGAUUAGAUACCCUGGUAGUCCACGCCGUAAACGAUGAGUGCUAAGUGUUAGGGGGUUUCCGCCCCCUUAGUGCUGCAGCUAACGCAUUAAGCACUCCGCCUGGGGAGUACGGCCGCAAGGCUG
rnacentral:rRNA from 1 species